rnacentral:rRNA from 1 species
GACAGAGGGUGCAAACGUUGUUCGGAUUUACUGGGCGUAAAGCGCGUGUAGGCGGCUUUGCAAGUCGGAUGUGAAAGCCCUCGGCUCAACCGAGGAAGUGCGCCCGAAACUGCAGAGCUUGAGUACCGGAGAGGAUGGCGGAAUUCCCCAAGUAGAGGUGAAAUUCGUAGAUAUGGGGAGGAACACCGGUGGCGAAGGCGGCCAUCUGGACGGAUACUGACGCUGAGACGCGAAAGCGUGGGGAGCAAACAGG